GCUGCCGCUGCGCCAGCCCUGUCGGAGGGUCCCGUUAGGGUUCCGCGCGUGUGGUUCCCUCGGGCUCCUAGGCCUCGGCUGCAGUCCAGGCCGAGCGCUGAGGGCGGCCGCCCCGCGCUGCCGGGAGUCGGUCGCCGAGAAGACGAUCUAAAUUGUGAGGUUGGCCUCAAACUCGGACGUUCUCCUGGUUCAGUCUCUGGAAUGGCUGGGAUUACCUGCGCCACCGCUCCCGGCAGUAAUUGACUUUGUCCAAAAGGCUCCAGUGGAAUCUGGCACUGUUUGCUACGAGACCCCGUGAGCAUAGUUAUUUGUGUAUACUAUAGAUAGGCAAGGACAGGCGCACGCUCAGACUGAGUCAAGUGGCUCCCUCUGCCGGCUUUCAAGGCUAGGAAGGCCAGUGUUCCCCUUUCCAUCUCCUGGUGGGAAGUGUCAAGGGAGAGGCUUUUGGAAAUGACUGAUUCAAUAGUGUCUGCCCUGAAUGGCUUUCUUCUUUCAAAAAAACUGCUUCUAGGCAGAAGGACUGCUGGAGACCAGCCUGGGCAACAUGUGCAGACAGCUACCCAGGGGAAUGCUGGAAGAUUUGAGGUCAAUUCUCAGACGGCAGCCGCCGGACGGCCCAGUCCUGCCGUUGGAGGGGGAGGAAGUUCCAGUCGGAGGCCACAAACCCCCAGUUAACG